UCUCUCUAGUUGUAUCAGUUGCACUUAUCAAAGUUCCAGAAUCAUCUCUGGUUCCUUUCCUUCUCUCUCUUAGGGUUUGAUAGAUCAUACUGUUCUUGCUGAUCUUGUAUUGAGAUCAUCGUUCGUAGUAUAGAUCAAAGAGUACAGAUCAUCGUGUUCAUGAUCUGCUGGUGAGUUGAGAGGCUAUUUUAGUGCAGUUUGUUAAAUCUGUUCUUGUUCUUGUAUUCGUUAAAUCUGUUCACGUUCUUGUAUCAAAGUUCUUAUUAAGUGAUAUACAAAGUUUCUGGUUAUGGAUCCAUGUUUUUUGACAUGGUAUCAGAGCCAUAAGGCUUCGAUCUAUUGUUUUUUCCGCUGCUGUGAAGAUUGAUUCAGUUUAGGGUUCAGAAGUUAUUUGUUCUCUAAAUUAUUGGUGAGUCUGAUUGUCGAAGGCAAGAUUAGGUGAAGUUCGGUUCAGAUUUGUAGGUUCUUUGAUAAUCAAGCCCUGGUCAUUCGAGAUCUGAGUUCAAGAUCUGCUGUAGAAAUCUUUGGAAUAUCAGAUCGUUUGGAGCAUGCCAAAACUCAGAAGUUUUAUCCUUAUAAUCUAGGGUUUCGUCUAUCUUAACCUGGUUAUACAAAAAGAAUUUGAUUAGUGUAUUUACACUUCUUAACCUAUGGCAUAUUCAUCUACUCAAGAAUAGUUUUCUUCAGCUUCUUGCAGUUGAUACACCUUCAACCCAGUGAUACAAAAAGAACAGUUUUGACAAGAAGUUAUUCAGGGUUGAAGGUGUGAAAGUGAAGCCUGUUGAUACUACAGGUGCCGGAGAUGCCUUUGUUAGCGGGAUUUUGAGCUUUUUAGCUUCCGAUACAAGUCUACUUGCGGAUGAAAAACGACUGCGUGAAGCUCUUGUGUUUUCAAACGGAUGUGGAGCACUUGUUGUGACAAAGAAAGGAGCGAUACCCGCUAUGCCAACGAAAAUCGAAAGUUAACCAAAUAUUGCAACAAGAAGGCUUAGGACCAAGUUGUAACCAUGUGUUAGAUAUGAAAUGAUACUGUUAGAAGUAACUUGUCUUGUUUUGGUCACUAGGGUGGAACAAAUUUUUUAGCAGGGUCUAGUUUUGCAUUGCGUUGCGUUGUGUGUCACCGGUUUUAUGAGAAGUUAAAGAAGCAUCCGUGGGUAACCUUGUUUCAGUUCAUAAUCGCUGCACUUUGGGUCUAGCGUUUUUUGAGGCGCUGAUUUGAAGUAAAGACUUCCAAACUUUCAAGAAUACUUGUAUCAAUUUUUUUAAAGUCUGUAGUCCAUGGUUGCACUGUAAGUCUUUCUAAACCUAACUGGUUUUUGGAGAUUCUGUAAGGAUAUCUUUCUCUAAAUCUUAUUUAAUUUCUAUUGUCACAAUAAUCGUUGCUAGGUGUUCUUAACU